rnacentral:rRNA from 1 species
AGAAUCAACGCUGGCGGCGUGCCUAACACAUGCAAGUCGCACGAGAAAGGGGAGCAAUCCCUGAGUACAGCGGCGCACGGGUGAGUAACACGUGAAUAAUCUACCUCCGAGUGGGGAAUAACUGAGAGAAAUCUUAGCUAAUACCGCAUAACACUUACGAGUCAAAGCAGCAAUGCGCUUGGAGAGGAGUUCGCGGCAGAUUAGUUAGUUGGCGGGGUAAUGGCCCACCAAGACGAUGAUCUGUA